rnacentral:rRNA from 1 species
UACAGAGGGGGCAAGCGUUGUUCGGAAUUACUGGGCGGAAAGGGCGCGUAGGCGGCCUGUUAAGUCGAACGUGAAAUCCCCGGGCUCAACCCGGGAACUGCGUCCGAUACUGGCAGGCUUGAAUCCGGGAGAGGGAUGCGGAAUUCCAGGUGUAGCGGUGAAAUGCGUAGAUAUCUGGAGGAACACCGGUGGCGAAGGCGGCAGCCUGGACCGGCAUUGACGCUGAGGCGCGAAAGCCAGGGGAGCAAACGGG